AGGGUUUGAUCCUGGCUCAGGACGAACGCUGGCGGCGCGCUUAACACAUGCAAGUCGUACGGUCUUCAGGGUUUCGGCCCUGGGGGCAGUGGCGGACGGGUGCGUAACACGUGAGCGACCUGCCGAGGUGUGGGGGACAACCGGUGGAAACGCCGGCUAAUACCGCAUGAUGCCUUCUUCCUGCAUGGGGGGAUGGCCAAAGGUGCUGAAAGGCACUGCGCUUCGAGGGGCUCGCGGGGUAUCAGGUAGUUGGUGGGGUAAUGGCCCACCAAGCCGACGACGCCUAGCUGAUCUGAGAGGAUGAUCAGCCACAUUGGGACUGAGAUACGGCCCAGACUCCUACGGGAGGCAGCAGUGGGGAAUCUUGCGCAAUGGUCGAAAGACUGACGCAGCGACGCCGCGUGGGGGAGGAAGGUCUUCGGAUCGUAAACCCCUGUCACCGGGGAAGAACUCUCGCGGGAGGAAAUGCCUGCGAGUUGACGGUACCCGGGGAGGAAGCACCGGCUAACUCUGUGCCAGCAGCCGCGGUAAUACAGAGGGUGCGAGCGUUGUUCGGAAUUACUGGGCGUAAAGCGCGCGCAGGCGGCUCUUUAAGUCUAUGGGUGAAAGACCGGGGCUCAACCCCGUGUCAGCCCGGGAUACUGGGGAGCUAGGGACAUGUAGGGGCGAGCGGAAUUCCGGGUGUAGCGGUGGAAUGCGUAGAGAUCCGGAAGAACACCGGGGGCGAAGGCGGCUCGCUGGGCAUGGUCCGACGCUGAGGCGCGAAAGCGUGGGGAGCGAACAGGAUUAGAUACCCUGGUAGUCCACGCCGUAAACGAUGGGCACUAGAGGCGGGGGGGAUCGGCCCCUUCCGUCUCGCAGCUAACGCGUUAAGUGCCCCGCCUGGGGAGUACGGCCG
rnacentral:rRNA from 1 species